UACGUAGGGCGCAAGCGUUGUCCGGAAUUAUUGGGCGUAAAGAGCUCGUAGGCGGCUUGUCGCGUCGGUUGUGAAAGCCCGGGGCUUAACUCCGGGUCUGCAGUCGAUACGGGCAGGCUAGAGUUCGGUAGGGGAGAUCGGAAUUCCUGGUGUAGCGGUGAAAUGCGCAGAUAUCAGGAGGAACACCGAUGGCGAAGGCAGGUCUCUGGGCCGAUACUGACGCUGAGGAGCGAAAGCGUGGGGAGCGAACAGG
rnacentral:rRNA from 1 species